rnacentral:rRNA from 1 species
GGGUUGUAAACUCCUUCUCUGAGGGAACAAGUAUGAGGGUACCUCAGGAAUAAGGCGCUGCUAACUACGUGCCAGCAGCAGCGGUAAUACGUAGGCGCCAAGCGUAAUCCGGAAUUACUGGGCGUAAAGAGUCUGUAGGCGGCGGAUACAGUCGAGUGUUACAUUUUCAUGCUCAACGUGAAAAAUGUACUCGAAACUUAUUUGCUUAGAGUCUGAGAGAGGCUACUGGAAUUCCCAUUGGAGGAGUAAAAUCCGUAGAUAAUGGGAGGAACACCAAAAGCGAAGGCAGGUAGCUGGAUCAGGACUGACGCUGAGAGACGAAAGCGUGGUUAGCGAACAGGAUUAGAUACCCUGGUAGUCCACGCCGUAAACGAUGAGUGCUAGGCGUUGGAGAGUCAUUUCGACCCUUUCCAGUGUCUAAAGUUUAACACGUUAAGCACUCCGCUUGGGGAGUACGAGCGCAAGCUUAAAACUCAAAGGAAUAGACGGGGGCCCGCACAAGCGGUGGAGCAUGUGGUUUAAUUCGACAAUAAGCGAGGAACCUCACCUGGGCUUGACAUCUCAAGAAUCCUCUGGAAACAGAGGAGUGCCCGCAAGGGAAUUUGAUGACAGGCGCUGCAUGGUUGUCGUCAGCUCGUGCCCUGAGGUGUUCGGUUAAGUCCGUAAACGAGCGCAACCCUUAUCGUAUGUUGUAUUUUUCAUACGAGACUGCCGGUUUUUACACCGGAGGAAGGUGGGGAUGACGUCAAAUCAGCAUGGCC